rnacentral:rRNA from 1 species
GACAGAGGGUGCGAACGUUGUUCGGAAUUACUGGGCGUAAAGCGCGUGUAGGCGGCAGCGCAAGUCGGGCGUGAAAUCCCACGGCUCAACCGUGGAAGUGCACUCGAAACUGCGCAGCUAGAGUCCUGGAGAGGAAGGUGGAAUGCUUGGUGUAGAGGUGAAAUUCGUAGAUAUCAAGCGGAACACCGGUGGCGAAGGCGGCCUCUGGACAGUGACUGACGCUGAGACGCGAAAGCGUGGGGAGCAACAGGG